ACGGAAGGCAGCAGUAGGGAAUAUUGCACAAUGGGGGAAACCCUGAUGCAGCAACGCCGCGUGUGGGAAGACGCAUUUCGGUGUGUAAACCACUGUCGUGAGGGAAUAAGGACGCUUCUCGGAGCGUUUGAAUGUACCUCGAAAGGAAGCACCGGCAAACUUCGUGCCAGCAGCCGCGGUAAUACGAGGGGUGCAAGCGUUGUUCGGAAUCACUGGGCGUAAAGGGAGCGCAGGCGGAGAUGCAAGCAGUCUGUACAAUACCGGGGCCCAACCCCGGACCUGCAGACUGGACUGUUUCUCUUGGAUAGCUCAGGGGCUGGCGGAAUUCCUGGUGUAGCGGUGGAAUGCGUAGAGAUCAGGAAGAACACCGAUGGCGAAGGCAGCCAGCUGGGGGCUUAUCGACGCUCAUGCUCGAAAGUGCGGGUAGCAAACAGGAUUAGAUACCCUGGUA
rnacentral:rRNA from 1 species